rnacentral:rRNA from 1 species
UACGUAGGAUGCAAGCGUUGUCCGGAAUUACUGGGCGUAAAGGGCGAGCAGGUGGCACUACAAGUCUGAUGUAAAAUCUCCCCGGCUUGACUGGGGAGGGGCCAUUGGAAACUGUAGAGCUGGAGUGCAGGAGAGGCUAACGGAAUUCCCGGUGUAGUGGUGAAAUGCGUAGAUAUCGGGAGGAACACCAGUGGCGAAGGGCGGUUA